rnacentral:lncRNA from 1 species
UAUAGGCUGUUUUGUGUUUUGCUUUUCUGUUGAUGCACAAAGGAAUCCUUGAUAUGUUUGUCCUCAAAGACCAAAGACAAGUAUCUAGUAAAAAAUGCAAAUCAUAUCUAACAGUGAAGCUUUCCAGCAAAAACCUUCUGCUCUAGAAUGCAUAAUUAUGCGAGCAUAAGAUCUACUACUCUAGACUUUUAGCAUAAUUACCUAUAGGCAGCAAAACCCUAGUCAAUUGAGUGUCUGGUGCCUCUUGGACCUGGACUUCUCCAAGAGAAUGGGCAAGGAGGACGAAAAGGAAGAGACAGCUAUGCUUUGUGAAACAGGAGGUGACUUAAAAAAAAAAUUCUAUAGCAGUCUUCUUAAUUCCUGUUACAGACUUGAUACGCUUAUCUGCUGUUGAGGACACGGUUGCCAGUUUCUAACCUUCUCUGUCUGCCUGAAAAACUAGAAAUUAGAUGAUCAUAUGGCCUAGAGCCAGAAGUGCAGGAGGCAGAAAGCCAGGGGCCAGUUUUUUUCUUUUUGUUUCUGAAUAAGAAGGCCAAAUCCUGACUUAAAAUAAUCAAAAUAAAUUUUACGGAGUGACGGUCUUUCCAGCUGAAAACCUUAAAACAUGGCAUCUGGAAGAAGGCCUUAGUCUAUUGCUCCCAGGAUGGUACUAUAUAGUCAUUAAAUAGCCCACAGAUAAGGGAGUUAUUGCCCCCUCGUUAUUGGGCUGCCAGGAAUUAAAUGAUGGAACUAAGUUUCACUUGAAACAUUCCCAAAUUAAAACAAAAACAAGCCUUGCUUUGAGCUGUUGAAAAGGCAUUUUACUGAGAAGAUCCAGAUGCUAUUGCUGUUCUUAAAUGAUGUUGAAAGGCAAAGGGUCAGGACUUUCAAAAAGUCACUUUGAGGUCACCUCACAUAAGCAAGCAACAGUUUGAACUGAUGCAAAAACAAACAAUGAAAUUAUGAACAGGAGGAAGAAACUAAAAUGAGGGCAGUAUAUGCCAUAAAUAUGGAAGAGGCUGUCUCUUAUUUAUCUUCUCAUUUCCUGUACAUAAUACAGAAACCUGGUAUGUAAUAGGCAUACAAUUAUUUGUGGCUCAACUGAAUAAACGAAGAUGGAAACCAGCAAGCAGCGGGCAGAUAAUAUACUUGGGAAAGGAGAACUGCAGAGACGCUGGGUGGUUCAAGGCUUCUGCAUGAUCCUCAAAUGUCACCCCAAUCUGCUGUGACAUAGCUAUACCACUCAUCAGAAUACCCCAAAACAAAUUGUCUGCCUCCCUUAUGUACAACUUUUAUUAUUUCUUAUCUCGGUUGGUUAAGAAUAUGUAGUAAUGGCCGGGCGCGGUGGCUCACGCCUGUAAUCCCAGCACUUUGGGAGGCCGAGGCAGGAGGAUCACCUGAGGUCAGGAGUUCGAGACCAGCCUCAACAUGGAGAAACCCCGUCUCUACUAAAAAUACAAAAUUAGCCGGGCGUGGUGGUGCAUACCUGUAAUUCCAGCUACUCGGGAGGCUGAGGCAGGAGAAUUGCUUGAACCUGGGAGGCAGAGUUUGCGGAGGCCUUGAUGUGCAGACGCGAUGGGGCAACGAUGAGACCGAAUAAACAAUUGACAUCUAACCCCAGAAGAAGAGCAAGGACCUGGGACCCAGAAGGAAGAGGCUGUGAGAGGUACAAACUGCAGGCAUGGACAUGAUGCAUAUAGAGGACAGCCACACUAAGCUUUGAGGCUUCUGGAGGCAACACAGAGUAACCAUUUGAAUGGAAAUCACUGAACAGACACAGAGAAAGAGAAACCAUCCAAUGACUUGAGGGUGACACCAAGUUUGCCUGGUGGCCUCAGGACUCCUGGCUCACUGGUCCCACUGUCUCCCCCCGCCCAUCAGAAUACAUGAAGGCUGGUGGGGCACGGUGGCCCAUGUCUGUAAUCCCAACACUUUGGGAGGCCAAGGCGGGCAGAUCACCUGAGUUCGAGACCAGCCUGGCCAACAUGGUGAAACCUCGGCUCUACUAAAAAUACAAAAUUAGCUGAGUGUGGUGGCACAUGCCUGUAAUCCCAGCUACUCGGGAGGCUGAGGCAGGAGAAUCACUUGAACCCAGGAGGCUGAGGUUGCAGUGAGCUGGGAUCAUGCCACUGCACUCCAGCCUGGCGACAGAGUGAGACUCCAUCUCCAAAAAAAAAAAAAAAAAAAAUACGUGAAGGCUUUCCUACCACACCAUGCAUGUGGGACACGUCAGAGUGGGAAGCUCCAUGGAUCUACAGCAAGGCUGUUCGACUAAGAGUGAAUAAAUGGGUGAAUUCCAUGGGCUGAACAUGUCAGGAAUAUUUUCUUCUUAGGGCAGCGAUCUUAACUUCUGGAGAAAUUGAGUUCCUAAGCUGUAGAGCCUUAGAACCCUGGCAUACAUUUCUGUGGAGAAACAGAAAGCCCAGACAUCCCAGUCCACACACGUCUUUCUUCUGACCAACACCAGCCAUAGGAAGCAAGGCCCGGGAGAGCACUGGGGACAGGGCAUGUCCGCCCGGAGCAGGGCAGGAGAGCACAGGCAUGUGAUGCAGCCCUGGGUCUGUCGUCCCGUUUGCGCCGGGAAUGAAUCGGGUUUUUCUAGCCUCUAAGCACAGAGGUAUUUUUGACUCAGCACCGUGAAGAGACGACAAUAGCUCAGCUUCUGCCAGCUGCCCGAUUUAGACACGAGACCUUCACUACAUAUUUCUGUCUCUUGCCCUACUCAGAAGAAGGACUUAAAAAUCCCCCAAGACGGAACUGAGUUUUCCUCUGUUCAUUUUUUUAAAUUACACUACUUGAAGAACCCCAAACAAAUAAGGCUCUGGGCCUCCAAGACCAUGUAAUCCAUUGUGCUCGUGUGGAAGAGCUGCCCCCAGUAGAGGCAACAGGAAUGGCCUGGUCACUCAGCAGGUCCCCUGCCCAUCUUCCCACCACCCCUUGCCCCACCCACCGGGAAGGAGGAGGGAGCACAGGCUGCUUUGAGCAGUCAUCGUGCCUCUACCUGGAGCCUGUACUCACUGUCUUGGGGGCCGGUAUUUCCCAGGAGGGCUAUUGUGUGUUUCCUUGUCUGUUUCUCUUUCUGGAAUGCGAGCUGUUUCAAAAUGAACUGAAGAUCAUUCACCUCCACCCCUCAGCUCUCAGCAUAGAGGUGUGCACAGAGUACAUGCUCAGUAAAUGUUUAACAGAUAUAUUUUUAACUUAUUUUAUUUUACUUUUUUUUUCUUUUUCUUUUUUUUUUUU